GGGGCUGGCUCAGUGGUAGAGUGCUUGCCUUGCAUGCAUGAGGCCCUGGGUUCAAUUCCUCAGCACCA
rnacentral:tRNA from 1 species